rfam:Harpegnathos saltator strain R22 G/1 HarSal_1.0_2.contig236, whole genome shotgun sequence.
AAGAUCAUACUUCUCAGGAUCAUUUCUGUAGGAGUUGUUCUUACACCUCUUCCCUAACACGGAAGUAGAUUCAACCACGAUGAGGAGCAAAAGCUUUUUUUCCUGAGCGUGAGGACGACCGGCACUUCGUACGCGUUUACGAGAGUCCAGUCAUCGAUGAUCGUUCAACCCUUUAUAUUAUUUAUAAAGGGCAGGGAAAAGAAGCAUUCUGAGUGGU